rnacentral:rRNA from 1 species
AUUGAACGCUGGCGGCAUGCCUUACACAUGCAAGUCGAACGGCAGCACGGGGGCAACCCUGGUGGCGAGUGGCGAACGGGUGAGUAAUACAUCGGAACGUGCCCAGUAGUGGGGGAUAGCCCGGCGAAAGCCGGAUUAAUACCGCAUACGACCUACGGGUGAAAGCGGGGGAUCGCAAGCCCUCGCGCUAUUGGAGCGGCCGAUGUCAGAUUAGGUUGUUGGGGGGGUAAAGGCGCACCAAGCCGACGAUCUGUAGCUGGUCUGAGAGGACGACCAGCCACACUGGGACUGAGACACGGCCCAGACUCCUACAGGAGGCAGCAGUGGGGAAUUUUGGACAAUGGGGGCAACCCUGAUCCAGCCAUGCCGCGUGCGGGAAGAAGGCCUUCGGGUUGUAAACCGCUUUUGUCAGGGAAGAAAUCUUCUGAGUUAAUACCUCGGGAGGAUGACGGUACCUGAAGAAUAAGCACCGGCUAACUACGUGCCAGCCGCCGCCGUAA